CCUGCUCUCCCUGCUGUGCCCCAGGGAAGAAGGCAUGCUGUGGGCUCUAGCUCUACUUCUAGCCACCCUGCCUCCCGGCAGUCACACAUCUUCCGGUUUGGAAAGGGGAAUGAUGUCAGUCACAAGUAAACCUGGGUCGCAUGUGCCAAUCACUUGUGAUUUUAAUGAAGCAAGUAAUUAUAUCCACUGGUACCAGUUCAAAGAGGGGCAGGCUCCACGACACAUUCUCUACUACAACUUUUUGCAAUCCAAGGUUGUAGUGUCCUCAGGAAUCAUUUCAGGGAAAUAUAAUGCUAAUAAAGGACCAGAUGGAAGAUGUACAUUUGUAGUACAAAAUGUGGAAGAAAGUGACUCUGCUGUCUAUUACUGCACCUACUGGACUAGCACAGUGGUUCAGACCUUCCUUUAUCUGUAUUAA